rnacentral:lncRNA from 1 species
UAAUAAUGUGUGAUUAAUAACCACAUAUUGUGCUGUGACAAGGAACUGGUGGAAGAUCAGAGAGAAGGGGGGCGAGAUACUAUCUGGUGGGCUAAAUGAAGGGGCAUCAGAGGGGAAAAGAGGGAGUGAGUUAGCAUGACAUGGAUGUCCAGCUGGAAACCACAGCAAGAUCUUCUACAACAUUGUUUCCAGCAGCCAUGUAUCUGACUGAAGUGCUUGUACAGAACCCAUUUGGAAUUAAAAGCAUUCUGCUUAUAAACAUUUUCAUGUUUCAAAUAUGUCAGAAGAGAAUUGGGAGGAAAACAUUUUUCUCUUGGAGAAAACAACAGGAUCAAGAAACAUGUCUGGCUUUUUUAAAUGAUAAAGGAACAGGAAACAUCCUGAGAUAUUAG